rnacentral:rRNA from 1 species
GUGCCAGCCGCCGCGGUAAUACGGAGGGUGCAAGCGUUGUUCGGAAUUAUUGGGCGUAAAGCGCGUGUAGGCGGUUUUUUAAGUCUGAUGUGAAAGCCCUGGGCUCAACCUGGGAAGUGCAUUGGAUACUGGAAGACUUGAGUACGGGAGAGGGUAGUGGAAUUCCGAGUGUAGGAGUGAAAUCCGUAGAUAUUCGGAGGAACACCGGUGGCGAAGGCGGCUACCUGGACCGAUACUGACGCUGAGACGCGAAAGCGUGGGGAGCAAACAGGAUUAGAUACCCCCGUAGUCC